GCCAGAUGAAGAAGCUCUGCUGGAAGGGCAUCUCCUAACAACGAAGGCUGGUUGUUUAGGGCCUGGAAGAGAAGCAGUUUCACUGCCAAGCAUGAGUAGUACAUUUGACAUAGUGGGACGGUCACAGGGGUCCUCUUGUACACAUAAAAGUCCAACAGUUAUGCACUUCAAAAAUUCAUUUGCAUUGCAGGUUUUCCUCAGGGUUGGGUCUAAAAAGUCCAACGCCUUUUCUUCUUUCCACAGAUUCCAGGCAUAACCUAGAAGACUCAGAGAUUGUUCAGGUUGAUAAAAACCUAUGUUCCUUUUUCCACUUAUAAUCUCA
rnacentral:misc_RNA from 1 species